rnacentral:rRNA from 1 species
AGCGAACGCUGGCGGCAGGCUUAACACAUGCAAGUCGAGCGGGCCCUUUCGGGGGUCAGCGGCAGACGGGUGAGUAACGCGUGGGAACGUACCCUUUGGUUCGGGACAACUCCGGGAAACUGGAGCUAAUACCGGAUAAGCCCUUUUGGGGAAAGAUUUAUUGCCAAGGGAUCGGCCCGCGUCUGAUUAGCUAGUUGGUGAGGUAACGGCUCACCAAGGCGACGAUCAGUAGCUGGUCUGAGAGGAUGAUCAGCCACACUGGGACUGAGACACGGCCCAGACUCCUACGGGAGGCAGCAGUGGGGAAUAUUGGACAAUGGGCGCAAGCCUGAUCCAGCCAUGCCGCGUGAGUGAUGAAGGCCUUAGGGUUGUAAAGCUCUUUCGGCGGGGACGAUAAUGACGGUACCCGCAGAAGAAGCCCCGGCUAACUUCGUGCCAGCCGCCGCCGUAACAC